UAUUUAUUUUAUUUUCCCCGCAAGUGCAAGGUCUGCUUUUUUGUCUGUUGAUUGCAACAGAAAUUGACCAACCAGCUUGUUGCCUGAGCCUGAUGUUGUGGGCUGAGAGAGGGGGACUGGCCCAAAGUCACUCAGCUGGCUUUCAUGCCCAAGGCAGGACUAGAACUCACAGUCUCCUGGUUUCUAGCCUGGAGCCUUAACCACUAGACCAAACGGUUGUUUUUAUUAUUAUUUAUUAAAUUUGUACACUGCCCAAUUCCCAAUUAUUCUGGGCAGUUCACCAGUAGACAUCAUGAAAAGGAAUCUGUUCUGUUGUGGAUCUAUAUGUUACUGCUGGGUUCUGUUGUUCCUACUCUUCCCAACGUGGCUUGCUUUAUCUCUCUCAAGGUUCCUCUGAAAUAGAACAAAAGAAUUCUACAAAAGCAUGUGAUAGAAAAUGCUGCCAGAAAGUUUUUUAACCAUUUCCUGUUACUUAAGACAAAAAAGAAAAAAAAAUCAAGAGGUGCAUUUCUUGCUGAGAGCAUGCCAAACAGUGGAAAAUUACAGACUUAGAAUCUGUAGGCCCUCAAUAAUUUGACAUAUAUUUGAAGAAAUGUGUGCUGAAAGUUUAUUCUUUGUCUUCUACAGAUCAAGCAUACUAAGCCAGUAAUCUGUAGCAAAUAAGAUCUGAUGAAUGCUGCUUCAGAAGACUAUUUUUGCUCUUGGGACUUCUGAGUCAACUGCUUGUGCUGUUUCUGCUUAUUGGGGAGCACCGCUUUCGAAUUUUUAAAGCACUGCAUGUUCAGUUUUUCAGUAGAAGAUCAAAGAUAGCCUUAGAAAUUUGAGUCAUCAUGUACUUACAUCAAUUUUCAUACAUUUAAAUUUGAAUGCUUAAAAAUGUCUCCCCUUCUGUUCUACUGUUAAAUUUUCUGGAAGCUUUAGCUUCUUGCUUGUCCUUGCAAAAAUAAUGGGUUUUUACAUUUUAAUUUUAAAAAAUGAUAGUUAAAUUUUCCUUUUAUAAAAUACUGCAAGGCAUGCCAAUACAGUUUGCAAGUCUUAGUAAAAGACGAUAAGUCUUCUACUAGUAAGUCUUUAUUAGUAAGACUAGUAAAGUGGUUUUGUAGCCUUCUACUAAUGUACAGAUAAUCCUCCAAUAAAGGCCUUCUAACAGUA